GUGUCAGCAGCCGCGGUAAUACGGAAGGGGCAAGCGUUGUUCGGAAUUAUUGGGCGUAAAGGGCGUGUAGGCGGCUUCAUAUGUCUGUGGUGAAAGCAUACGGCUCAACCGUAUUAAGCCGCGGAAACUGUGGAGCUUGAGGCUGGGAGGGGCUGGUGGAAUUCCCUGUGUAGCGGUGAAAUGCGUAGAGAUGGGGGAGAACACUCGCGGCGAAGGCGGCCAGCUGGACCAGUACUGACGCUGAGACGCGAAAGCGUGGGGAGCAAACAGGAUUAGAUACCCCCGUAGUCC
rnacentral:rRNA from 1 species